rnacentral:rRNA from 1 species
UGCUGACAUAAGUAACGAUAAAGCGGGUGAAAAGCCCGCUCGCCGGAAGACCAAGGGUUCCUGUCCAACGUUAAUCGGGGCAGGGUGAGUCGACCCCUAAGGCGAGGCCGAAAGGCGUAGUCGAUGGGAAACAGGUUAAUAUUCCUGUACUUGGUGUUACUGCGAAGGGGGGACGGAGAAGGCUAUGUUGGCCGGGCGACGGUUGUCCCGGUUUAAGCGUGUAGGCUGGUUUUCCAGGCAAAUCCGGAAAACUAAGGCUGAGGCGUGAUGACGAGGCACUACGGUGCUGAAGCAACAAAUGCCCUGCUUCCAGGAAAAGCCUCUAAGCAUCAGGUAACAUCAAAUCGUACCCCAAACCGACACAGGUGGUCAGGUAGAGAAUACCAAGGCGCUUGAGAGAACUCGGGUGAAGGAACUAGGCAAAAUGGUGCCGUAACUUCGGGAGAAGGCACGCUGAUAUGUAGGUGAAGUCCCUCGCGGAUGGAGCUGAAAUCAGUCGAAGAUACCAGCUGGCUGCAACUGUUUAUUAAAAACACAGCACUGUGCAAACACGAAAGUGGACGUAUACGGUGUGACGCCUGCCCGGUGCCGGAAGGUUAAUUGAUGGGGUCAGCGCAAGCGAAGCUCUUGAUCGAAGCCCCGGUAAACGGCGGCCGUAACUAUAACGGUCCUAAGGUAGCGAAAUUCCUUGUCGGGUAAGUUCCGACCUGCACGAAUGGCGUAAUGAUGGCCAGGCUGUCUCCACCCGAGACUCAGUGAAAUUGAACUCGCUGUGAAGAUGCAGUGUACCCGCGGCAAGACGGAAAGACCCCGUGAACCUUUACUAUAGCUUGACACUGAACAUUGAGCCUUGAUGUGUAGGAUAGGUGGGAGGCUUUGAAGUGUGGACGCCAGUCUGCAUGGAGCCGACCUUGAAAUACCACCCUUUAAUGUUUGAUGUUCUAACGUUGACCCGUAAUCCGGGUUGCGGACAGUGUCUGGUGGGUAGUUUGACUGGGGCGGUCUCCUCCUAAAGAGUAACGGAGGAGCACGAAGGUUGGCUAAUCCUGGUCGGACAUCAGGAGGUUAGUGCAAUGGCAUAAGCCAGCUUGACUGCGAGCGUGACGGCGCGAGCAGGUGCGAAAGCAGGUCAUAGUGAUCCGGUGGUUCUGAAUGGAAGGGCCAUCGCUCAACGGAUAAAAGGUACUCCGGGGAUAACAGGCUGAUACCGCCCAAGAGUUCAUAUCGACGGCGGUGUUUGGCACCUCGAUGUCGGCUCAUCACAUCCUGGGGCUGAAGUAGGUCCCAAGGGUAUGGCUGUUCGCCAUUUAAAGUGGUACGCGAGCUGGGUUUAGAACGUCGUGAGACAGUUCGGUCCCUAUCUGCCGUGGGCGCUGGAGAACUGAGGGGGGCUGCUCCUAGUACGAGAGGACCGGAGUGGACGCAUCACUGGUGUUCGGGUUGUCAUGCCAAUGGCACUGCCCGGUAGCUAAAUGCGGAAGAGAUAAGUGCUGAAAGCAUCUAAGCACGAAACUUGCCCCGAGAUGAGUUCUCCCUGACUCCUUGAGAGUCCUGAAGGAACGUUGAAG